UGGGGAAUCUUGCACAAUGGGCGAAAGCCUGAUGCAGCAACGCCGCGUGCGGGAAGACAGCCCUAGGGUUGUAAACCGCUUUCAGCAGGGAAGAAACUGACGGUACCUGCAGAAGAAGAUGCGGCCAACUACGUGCCAGCAGCCGCGGUGACACGUAGGCAUCAAGCGUUAUCCGGAUUUAUUGGGCGUAAAGAGCUCGUAGGCGGUUCGGUAAGUCGGGUGUGAAACUCUGGGCUCAACCCAGAGAGGCCACUCGAUACUGCUGUGACUAGAGUGCGGUAGGGGAGCGGGGAAUUCCUGGUGUAGCGGUGAAAUGCGCAGAUAUCAGGAGGAACACCAGUGGCGAAGGCGCCGCUCUGGGCCGGAACUGACGCUGAGGAGCGAAAGCGUGGGGAGCGAACAGGAUUAGAUACCCUGGUAGUCCACACCGUAAACGAUGAAUGCCAGUCGUCGGGUAGCAUGCUAUUCGGUGACACACCUAACGGAUUAAGCAUUCCGCCUGGGAGUACGGUCGCAAGA
rnacentral:rRNA from 1 species